rnacentral:rRNA from 1 species
UACGUAGGGUGCGAGCGUUGUCCGGAAUUAUUGGGCGUAAAGGGCUCGUAGGCGGUCUGUUGCGUCGGGAGUGAAAACUCAGGGCUUAACCCUGAGCCUGCUUCCGAUACGGGCAGACUAGAGGUAUGCAGGGGAGAACGGAAUUCCUGGUGUAGCGGUGAAAUGCGCAGAUAUCAGGAGGAACACCGGUGGCGAAGGCGGUUCUCUGGGCAUUACCUGACGCUGAGACGCGAAAGCGUGGGGAGCAAACAGG